GCUAGACAUGCAAGUCGAACGGACGGUCCAAUUUAUUGUACCGUUAGUGGCGAAAGGGUUAGUAACGGGUAGGUAACGUACCCCGUGCUUCGGGAUAGCGUCAGUUGCUUCGGUAACUUUCCGAAAGGGGCGGUAAUACCGGAUAAUAUCAGGGAUCGACAGGUUUUUGAUAAAAGAUUUAUCGGCAUGGGAGCGGCCUGCCUCCUAUCAGCUUGUUGGUGGGGUAACGGCUCACCAAGGCAACGACGGGUAGCGGGACUGAGAGGUUGGCCCGCAACAUCGGGACUGAGACACUGCCCGGACCUCCACGGAGGGCUGCAGUAACGAAUAUUGUGCAAUGGGCGAAAGCCUGACACAGCGACGCCGCGUGUAGGAGGAAGUCCCUCGGGAUGUAAACUACUGUCAGGGGUAAGAAAGUGCGCUUCGGCGUAUUGAUCGCACCCAGAGGAAGUCACGGCUAACUUCGUGCCAGCAGCCGCGGUAAGACGAAGGUGGCAAGCGUUGUUCGGUAUCACUGGGCUUAAAGCGUGUGUAGGCGGAAAAGUCAGCGUCUCGUGAAAGCCCCCGGCUCAACCGGGGAAUUGCGGGACGAACUACUUUUCUUGAGGCAAGUAGGGGUGCAUGGAACUCUUGGUGGAGCGGUGGAAUGCGUAGAUAUCAAGAGGAACGCCAGUGGAGAAAUCGGUGCACUGGGCUUGUCCUGACGCUGAGACACGAAAGCGUGGGGGAGCGAACGGGAUUAGAUACCCCGGUAGUCCACGCCGUAAACGAUGUCUACUAUGUUGUGGUGGUUCUGACACCAGCACAGCCGAAGCAAAAGUGCUAAGUAGACCGCCUGGGGAGUACGGUCGCAAGGCUAAAACUCAAAGGAAUUGACGGGGGCUCACACAAGCGGUGGAGCAUGUGGAUUAUUCGAAGCAACGCGUAGAACCUUACCUGGUUUGACAUGCUUGGAUGCCUGCCUGGAAACAGGUUAGUCGCCCUUCGGGGUGAACUUGCA
rnacentral:rRNA from 1 species